CCCUUCUCAGGGUCACACCUGGAGAGUUUCCAUUACUCUACCAGUCUUGACCCCUGGAGGGAGAGUCAAGCAGAGGCCUGUCCGUUUCAUUCCUAGCUUGACCAGUGGCUAGCGAACGGAAGGCAAUCUGCUACAAGG